rnacentral:rRNA from 1 species
AACGAACGCUGGCGGCAUGCCUAACACAUGCAAGUCGAACGAGACCUUCGGGUCUAGUGGCGCACGGGUGCGUAACGCGUGGGAACCUGCCCUUAGGUUCGGAAUAACUCAGAGAAAUUUGAGCUAAUACCGGAUAAUGUCUUCGGACCAAAGAUUUAUCGCCUUUGGAUGGGCCCGCGUAGGAUUAGCUUGUUGGUGGGGUAAUGGCCUACCAAGGCGACGAUCCUUAGCUGGUCUGAGAGGAUGAUCAGCCACACUGGGACUGAGACACGGCCCAGACUCCUACGGGAGGCAGCAGUGGGGAAUACUGGACAAUGGGCGAAAGCCUGAUCCAGCAAUGCCGCGUGAGUGAUGAAGGCCUUAGGGUUGUAAAGCUCUUUUACCAGGGAUGAUAAUGACAGUACCUGGAGAAUAAGCUCCGGCUAACUCCGUG